GCCUACGGGAGGCAGCAGGGGGAAUAUUGGACAAUGGGCGAAAGCCUGAUCCAGCCAUGCCGCGUGUGUGAAGAAGGUCUUCGGAUUGUAAAGCACUUUAAGUUGGGAGGAAGGGUUGUAGAUUAAUACUCUGCAAUUUUGACGUUACCGACAGAAUAAGCACCGGCUAACUCUGUCCAGCAGCCGCGGUAAUG
rnacentral:rRNA from 1 species